AUAGGCGAUUCCGGCAUCGUGGGCUUCAAAAUCAACCGAUCAAUUUGGGUGUUGUUCAUUGGGUGGGUCUAGCAUUCUUGAGUCACAAAAGAACUAUUGGGGUUUCCGUGGUACUGUGCAGUGAAAUUUUGAGUAGCUGAUGAUGUGCCCUUGAAGCAAGCACUGGAGAAUGAAGAAGGUGUAGCCGCCUAGUGCUUAGGAUUAUUCUUAGUUGACUUAUCUAUUUUGAAAUAUAUCCUUUGUAAGUAAAGUUUUAAAUUUAUGAUCUAUUUUGGAUGACUGUAAAAA